GAUGGACGCUGGCGGCGUGCCUAAUACAUGCAAGUCGAGCGAACGGACGAGAAGCUUGCUUUUCUGAUGUUAGCGGCGGACGGGUGAGUAACACGUGGAUAACCUACCUAUAAGACUGGGAUAACUUCGGGAAACCGGAGCUAAUACCGGAUAAUAUUUUGAACCGCAUGGUUCAAAAGUGAAAGACGGUCUUGCUGUCACUUAUAGAUGGAUCCGCGCUGCAUUAGCCAGUUGGUAAGGUAACGGCUUACCAAGGCAACGAUGCAUAGCCGACCUGAGAGGGUGAUCGGCCACACUGGAACUGAGACACGGUCCAGACUCCUACGGGAGGCAGCAGUAGGGAAUCUUCCGCAAUGGGCGAAAGCCUGACGGAGCAACGCCGCGUGAGUGAUGAAGGUCUUCGGAUCGUAAAACUCUGUUAUUAGGGAAGAACAUAUGUGUAAGUAACUGUGCACAUCUUGACGGUACCUAAUCAGAAAGCCACGGCUAACUACGUG
rnacentral:rRNA from 1 species